ACGGGAGGCAGCAGUGAGGAAUAUUGGUCAAUGGGCGCAAGCCUGAACCAGCCAAGUAGCGUGAGGGAAGACUGCCCUAUGGGUUGUAAACCUCUUUUGUGCGGGGAUAAAGUGUGGGACGUGUCCCAUAUUGCAGGUACCGCACGAAUAAGGACCGGCUAAUUCCGUGCCAGCAGCCGCGGUAAUACGGAAGGUCCGGGCGUUAUCCGGAUUUAUUGGGUUUAAAGGGAGCGCAGGCCGUCCUUUAAGCGUGCUGUGAAAUGCCGCGGCUCAACCGUGGCACUGCAGCGCGAACUGGAGGACUUGAGUACGCACGAGGUAGGCGGAAUUCGUGGUGUAGCGGUGAAAUGCUUAGAUAUCACGAAGAACUCCGAUUGCGAAGGCAGCUUACCGGAGCGCAACUGACGCUGAGGCUCGAAAGCGCGGGUAUCGAACAGGAUUAGAUACCCUGGUA
rnacentral:rRNA from 1 species